rnacentral:rRNA from 1 species
GUGGGGAAUAUUGGACAAUGGGCGAAAGCCUGAUCCAGCCAUGCCGCGUGUGUGAAGAAGGUCUUCGGAUUGUAAAGCACUUUAAGUUGGGAGGAAGGGCAGUAAGUUAAUACCUUGCUGUUUUGACGUUACCAACAGAAUAAGCACUGGCUAACUUCGUGCCAGCAGCCGCGGUAAUACGAAGGGUGCAAGCGUUAAUCGGAAUUACUGGGCGUAAAGCGCGCGUAGGUGGUUCAGCAAGUUGAAGGUGAAAUCCCCGGGCUCAACCUGGGAACUGCAUCCAAAACUACUGAGCUAGAGUACGGUAGAGGGUAGUGGAAUUUCCUGUGUAGCGGUGAAAUGCGUAGAUAUAGGAAGGAACACCAGUGGCGAAGGCGACUACCUGGACUGAUACUGACACUGAGGUGCGAAAGCGUGGGGAGCAAACAGGAUUAGAUACCCUUGUAGUCC